GGGCUUAGAGAUCCGUUUUCAAUAUGUUUUGGAAGCUCACAUCUCUUUCUGCUUGUUCACCGGUUGAAGCAGUAUUAGACAAGGAAAACUUCACAUUGGAAGAGCUUCUCGAUGAAGAAGAGAUAAUUCAAGAAUGCAAAGCUUUGAACAACCGUCUCAUAAAUUUGUAAACAUUCUUGGAGUUUAAAUUUUUUAAAUCCCUCUUUA
rnacentral:misc_RNA from 1 species